UUCAAACUAGAACUUGAUUUGCUUCUUCUUUUUCUUCCUCUUCAAUCAUGACUUUAUAUUGAUAGCACGUGAAUAACUAAGUUAUUGACACCGUAACGUGUUCGUGGAGUACCGUAACAAUUUAAAUUGACAUUUUCACAAGGAUUUCAGAUAUAUGUGGACUGCAGUGCAUUACCCAGUAAUUGUGAUAAGGAUCCGUUAUGUGAACCACUUUCAGUGGGCUACCAUUUCUAUGUGCUUGACAAGUAGGUUCAGAAACUUCAUUGUUGUCAACUAUUGCGCCAAGUGAAUAGUCGCUUUGUUUUUUUGGUUGAAAAAGCAACGAGGAGCGUCAAUUUAAUUAAUUUUUUUACAUCAAAACUUUUACAAACUCAAUGAAACCAUUAAAAAAUCAUCACAGGCUACAAAGGAUAUUCAAGUGGAGUCCUUCCGAGAUAUGGACGUUAGCACUCAACAAAAUCUCCAAUUGGAAUAUAAGAGCGUUUUGAUUUGCGGGAAAAAUUACUUACAUCUGCGGAAAGAUUUCGACACGAGCUGCGUCAUAAAAAAGUACGAAUUUCCUUUUAACACAUGUUUAAGUUCUUUUGGAACCCAAGAACUUCACAUUGAUGCAAAAUUCUUCCCAUACGGAGAUAUAAUGUUACGUAGAAUCUGUUAUUUUGGAUGGUCUGGGACAUAGUUUUCUCAUGCGAUACCGAAAAAUGUUGAUCGAAAUUAAUUUUAAAUUAGUGUCAAUUUUAUCUUGACUAAUUCCGAAGCCUGCAUGAAACUACUAUUUUUGCAAUUUUCUUCGACAGAGUAAAGGGAAAAUCGAUUAUCGUAAUAAAAAAUUAUCCAUUUUCGCAA